AGCUUUGCACAGUGGCAAUAUCAUAGCCAAUGAGGUUUAUCUGAGGUGCAAUUAUUGCUGAUUGAAAACUUUUUCCAAGAAAAGCUUCUUAAGAAAUCAAUUCUCUGGGAUUCACUUCACUGUG
ensembl:snRNA U4 U4 spliceosomal RNA